UUAAGCGACUAAGCGUACACGGUGGAUGCCCUGGCAGUCAGAGGCGAUGAAGGACGUGCUAAUCUGCGAUAAGCGUCGGUAAGGUGAUAUGAACCGUUAUAACCGGCGAUUUCCGAAUGGGGAAACCCAGUGUGUUUCGACACACUAUCAUUAACUGAAUCCAUAGGUUAAUGAGGCGAACCGGGGGAACUGAAACAUCUAAGUACCCCGAGGAAAAGAAAUCAACCGAGAUUCCCCCAGUAGCGGCGAGCGAACGGGGAGCAGCCCAGAGCCUGAAUCAGUGUGUGUGUUAGUGGAAGCGUCUGGAAAGGCGCGCGAUACAGGGUGACAGCCCCGUACACAAAAAUGCACAUGCUGUGAGCUCGAUGAGUAGGGCGGGACACGUGGUAUCCUGUCUGAAUAUGGGGGGACCAUCCUCCAAGGCUAAAUACUCCUGACUGACCGAUAGUGAACCAGUACCGUGAGGGAAAGGCGAAAAGAACCCCGGCGAGGGGAGUGAAAAAGAACCUGAAACCGUGUACGUACAAGCAGUGGGAGCACGCUUAGGCGUGUGACUGCGUACCUUUUGUAUAAUGGGUCAGCGACUUAUAUUCUGUAGCAAGGUUAACCGAAUAGGGGAGCCGAAGGGAAACCGAGUCUUAACUGGGCGUUAAGUUGCAGGGUAUAGACCCGAAACCCGGUGAUCUAGCCAUGGGCAGGUUGAAGGUUGGGUAACACUAACUGGAGGACCGAACCGACUAAUGUUGAAAAAUUAGCGGAUGACUUGUGGCUGGGGGUGAAAGGCCAAUCAAACCGGGAGAUAGCUGGUUCUCCCCGAAAGCUAUUUAGGUAACGCCUCGUGAAUUCAUCUCCGGGGGUAGAGCACUGUUUCGGCAAGGGGGUCAUCCCGACUUACCAACCCGAUGCAAACUGCGAAUACCGGAGAAUGUUAUCACGGGAGACACACGGCGGGUGCUAACGUCCGUCGUGAAGAGGGAAACAACCCAGACCGCCAGCUAAGGUCCCAAAGUCAUGGUUAAGUGGGAAACGAUGUGGGAAGGCCCAGACAGCCAGGAUGUUGGCUUAGAAGCAGCCAUCAUUUAAAGAAAGCGUAAUAGCUCACUGGUCGAGUCGGCCUGCGCGGAAGAUGUAACGGGGCUAAACCAUGCACCGAAGCUGCGGCAGCGACACUAUGUGUUGUUGGGUAGGGGAGCGUUCUGUAAGCCUGUGAAGGUGUACUGUGAGGUAUGCUGGAGGUAUCAGAAGUGCGAAUGCUGACAUAAGUAACGAUAAAGCGGGUGAAAAGCCCGCUCGCCGGAAGACCAAGGGUUCCUGUCCAACGUUAAUCGGGGCAGGGUGAGUCGACCCCUAAGGCGAGGCCGAAAGGCGUAGUCGAUGGGAAACAGGUUAAUAUUCCUGUACUUGGUGUUACUGCGAAGGGGGGACGGAGAAGGCUAUGUUGGCCGGGCGACGGUUGUCCCGGUUUAAGCGUGUAGGCUGGUUUUCCAGGCAAAUCCGGAAAAUCAAGGCUGAGGCGUGAUGACGAGGCACUACGGUGCUGAAGCAACAAAUGCCCUGCUUCCAGGAAAAGCCUCUAAGCAUCAGGUAACAUCAAAUCGUACCCCAAACCGACACAGGUGGUCAGGUAGAGAAUACCAAGGCGCUUGAGAGAACUCGGGUGAAGGAACUAGGCAAAAUGGUGCCGUAACUUCGGGAGAAGGCACGCUGAUAUGUAGGUGAAGUCCCUCGCGGAUGGAGCUGAAAUCAGUCGAAGAUACCAGCUGGCUGCAACUGUUUAUUAAAAACACAGCACUGUGCAAACACGAAAGUGGACGUAUACGGUGUGACGCCUGCCCGGUGCCGGAAGGUUAAUUGAUGGGGUCAGCGCAAGCGAAGCUCUUGAUCGAAGCCCCGGUAAACGGCGGCCGUAACUAUAACGGUCCUAAGGUAGCGAAAUUCCUUGUCGGGUAAGUUCCGACCUGCACGAAUGGCGUAAUGAUGGCCAGGCUGUCUCCACCCGAGACUCAGUGAAAUUGAACUCGCUGUGAAGAUGCAGUGUACCCGCGGCAAGACGGAAAGACCCCGUGAACCUUUACUAUAGCUUGACACUGAACAUUGAGCCUUGAUGUGUAGGAUAGGUGGGAGGCUUUGAAGUGUGGACGCCAGUCUGCAUGGAGCCGACCUUGAAAUACCACCCUUUAAUGUUUGAUGUUCUAACGUGGACCCGUAAUCCGGGUUGCGGACAGUGUCUGGUGGGUAGUUUGACUGGGGCGGUCUCCUCCUAAAGAGUAACGGAGGAGCACGAAGGUUGGCUAAUCCUGGUCGGACAUCAGGAGGUUAGUGCAAUGGCAUAAGCCAGCUUGACUGCGAGCGUGACGGCGCGAGCAGGUGCGAAAGCAGGUCAUAGUGAUCCGGUGGUUCUGAAUGGAAGGGCCAUCGCUCAACGGAUAAAAGGUACUCCGGGGAUAACAGGCUGAUACCGCCCAAGAGUUCAUAUCGACGGCGGUGUUUGGCACCUCGAUGUCGGCUCAUCACAUCCUGGGGCUGAAGUAGGUCCCAAGGGUAUGGCUGUUCGCCAUUUAAAGUGGUACGCGAGCUGGGUUUAGAACGUCGUGAGACAGUUCGGUCCCUAUCUGCCGUGGGCGCUGGAGAAUUGAGGGGGGCUGCUCCUAGUACGAGAGGACCGGAGUGGACGCAUCACUGGUGUUCGGGUUGUCAUGCCAAUGGCACUGCCCGGUAGCUAAAUGCGGAAGAGAUAAGUGCUGAAAGCAUCUAAGCACGAAACUUGCCCCGAGAUGAGUUCUCCCUGACUCCUUGAGAGUCCUGAAGGAACGUUGAAGACGACGACGUUGAUAGGCCGGGUGUGUAAGCGCAGCGAUGCGUUGAGCUAACCGGUACUAAUGAACCGUGAGGCUUAACCUU
rnacentral:rRNA from 1 species